AAUUUGAAAUGCCGAGGGCUUGGAGGACAUCGUAUCUGCAUCAAGGCUCACGGCAUUUCCUCACAC
rnacentral:pre_miRNA from 1 species